rnacentral:rRNA from 1 species
UACGGAGGGGGCUAGCGUUGUUCGGAAUUACUGGGCGUAAAGCGCACGUAGGCGGAUUGGUAAGUUGGGGGUGAAAUCCCGGGGCUCAACCCCGGAACUGCCUCCAAAACUCCCAGUCUGGAGUCCGGGAGAGGCGAGUGGAAUUCCGAGUGUAGAGGUGAAAUUCGUAGAUAUUCGGAGGAACACCAGUGGCGAAGGCGGCUCGCUGGUCCGGUACUGACGCUGAGGUGCGAAAGCGUGGGGAGCAAACAGG